UCAUCUGCCGGCGUCCCCCGCCGCUCUCUGCCGUCCCACGCUGCUCUCUGCCGUCCCCCGCCGCUCGCCGCCGUCCCCUGCCGUUCCCCAUCGCCUGCUGUUCCUCCGCUGAAACCACUCGCCCCCUCUUGCUGCCGUCCACCGUCGUCCCCCGUUGUUCCCCGCCACUCGACGCCGUCCCCCGUCGUCCCCCGUUGUUCCCCGCUGCUCACUGCUGUCCCCUGUUGUGCCCUGUCGUUCCCCGCCACACCCUGCCAUUCCCCGUCACUCGCUGCCAUUCCCCGUCAUUCCCCGUGGCUCUCUGUUGUCCCCCGCCACUCGCCGCCGUUCCCCGUCAUUCCCCGCCGCUCUCCGUCUUCCCCCGUCGCUCACCGCCGUCCCCUGCCGUUCACCCGCUGCCGCCGCUUGCCCCCUCUUGCCGCCGUCCCCCGUCGUCCCUCGUUGUUCCCCGAUGCUCAACGCCAUCCCCCGUCGUCCCCCGUUGUUCCCCACUGCUCGCCGCUGUCUCCCGUCGUCCCCUGCUGCUCCCUGCCGUUCCUUGUCGCUCGCUGCCGUUCCCUGUCAUUCCCCACCGCUCUCCAUCGUCACCCGCCGCUUGCCGCUGUUCCCCGUCGUUCCCCGUCAUUCCCCGCUGCUCUCCGUCGUCCCCUGUUGCUUGCCGCUGUCCCUCGCCGCUCCCCGCCGUUUCACCACUGCCGCCGCUCGCCCCCAAUUGCCGCCGUCCCCCGUCGUCUCCCGCUGCUUGAUGCCGUCCCCUGUUGUCCCCUGGCAUCCUCCGUCAUCUGCCGGCGUCCCCCGCCGCUUUCCGCCGUCCCCCGCUGCUCACCGCCGUCCGCCUCCGUUCCCCCGCUGCUUGCCCCCUCUUGCCGCCGUCCCCCGUCGUCCCUCGUUGUUCCCCGCCGGUUGAUGCCAUCCCCCGUCGUCCCCCAUUGUUCCCCGCUGCUCACCACUGUCCCCCGUCGUCCCCCGCCGCUCCCUGCCGUUCCCUGUCACUCACCGCCGUUCCCUGUCAUUCCCUGCCGCUCUCCAUCGUCCCCCGUUGCUCGCCGCCGUCCCCCGCCGCUCCCCGCCGUUUCCCAGCUGCCACCGCUUGCCCCCACUUGUCGCCAUCCCCCGUCACCCCCCCUCGUUCCCCGCCUCUUGCUGCUGUCCCCGGUUGUCCCUUGGCAUCCCCCGUCAUCUGCCGGCGUUCCCCGCCGCUCUCCGGUGUCCGCCGCCACUCGCUGCCAUCCCCCGCCGCUCACCGCUGUCCCCUGCCGUUCCCCCGCUGCCGCCGCUUGCCCCCUCUUGCUGCCGUCCCGUCGUCCCUCGUUGUUCCCUGCCGCUCGACGCCGUCCCCCGUCGUUCCUCGCCGCUCACCGCUGUCCCCUGUUGUCCCCCAUCGUCCCCCGCUGUCCCCCGCCGCUCCCUGCCGUUCCCCGUUGCUCGCUGCUGUUCCCCGCUGCUUGCCGUCAUUCCCCGUCGUCCCCUGCCGUCCCCUGCUGCUCGCCACCGUCCCCUGCCGCUGUCCCCCGCUGUCUCCCUCUGUCCCCUGCCGUCGUUCCCCGCCGUUCCCCAUCGCUCCCCUCCGCUUGCCGCUGUUCCCCGUCGUCCCCUGCUGCUUCCUGCCACUCACCGCCGUCCCCCGCCGCUCCCCGCUGUCCCCCACUGCUCACCACCAUUCCCCGUUGUUCCCUGUCAUUCCAUGCCGCUCGCCAUCGUUCCCCACUGCUCGCCACCGUCUCUUGUCGUCCCCCGUCAUCUCCUGUUGUCCCCCACCACUCACCACCGUUCCCCGUCGUCCCGCGCAAUCCCCCACCGCUUGCCGCCGCUCGCCAGCGUCCCCCGCCGCUCCCUGCCGUUCCCCAUCGCUCGCUGCCAUUCCCCAUCGUUCCCCGUCAUUCCCUGCUGUUCUCCAUCCCCCACGCUGUACCCCGCUGUCCUCCGUUGUUCCCCGUCGCUCCCCGUCGUCCCCCAGCACUCACCGCCGUUCCCCGUCGUCCCCCGCUGCUUGCUGCCGCUCACCGCUGUCCCCCGCUGCUCGCCGCUGUUCCCCGCCGUCCCCUGCCACUCCUUGCCGUUCCGUGUCGCUUGCCGCCGUUCCCCAUCAUUCCCCGCCGCUCUCCGUCAUCCCCCGCCGCUUGCCGCUGUUCCCCGUCGUUCCCCGUCAUUCCCCGCCGCUCUAUGUCGUCCCCCGUUGCUUGCCGCUGUCCCCCGCCGCUCCCCGCCAUUUCCCCACUGCUGCCGCUCGCCCCCACUUGCCGCCGUCCCCCGUCGUCCCCUGCUGCUCGAUGCCGUCCCCCGUUGUCCCCUGGCAUCCUCCGUCAUCUGCCGGCGUCCCCCGCCGCUUUCCGCCCUCCCCCGCCGUUCCCCCGCUGCCGCUGCUUGCCCCCUCUUGGCGCCGUCCCCCGUCGUCCCUCGUUGUUCCCCGCCGCUUGAUGCCGUCCCCCGUCGUUCCCCGUUGUUCCCCGCUGCUCGCCACUGUCCCCCGUUGUCCCCCGCUGCUCCGUGCAGUUCCCCAUCGCUCGCCGCCGUUCCCCGUCAUUCCCCGCCGCUCUCCAUCGUCCCCCGUUGCUCGCCGCCGUCCCCCGCCGCUCCCCGCCGUUUCCCCACUGCCACCGCUUGCCCCCACUUGUCGCCAUCCCCUGUCGUCCCCCGUCGUUCCCCGCCACUCUCUGCUGUCCCCCGUUGUCCCCUGGCAUCCCCCGUCAUCUGCCGGUGUCCUCCGCCGCUCUCCGCCGUCCCCCGCCGCUCGCUGCCGUCCCUCGCCGCUCUAUGUCGUCCCCUGUUGUCCCCUGUCGUCCCCUGUCGUCCCCCGCUGCUCCCUGCAGUUCCUCGUCGCUCGCCGCUGUUCCCCGUCGUCCCCCAGCACUCACCGCUGUUCCCCAUCGUCCCCCGCUGCUUGCUGCCGCUCACCGCUGGCUGUCCCCCGCUGCUCGCCGCUGUUCCCCGCCGCCCCCUGCCACUCCCUGCCGUUCCCUGUUGCUCGCCGCCAUUCCCC
ensembl:lncRNA